GCAUAUCAAUAAGCGGAGGAAAAGAAACCAACAGGGAUUGCCCCAGUAGCGGCGAGUGAAGCGGCAAGAGCUCAGAUUUGAAAUCGUGUUUCGGCACGAGUUGUUGAGUGUAGGCGGGAGUCUCUGUGGAGCGCGGUGUCCAAGUCCCUUGGAACAGGGUGCCUGAGAGGGUGAGAGCCCCGUAGGGUGCUGCGCGAAGCUUUUGAGGCCCUGCUGACGAGUCGAGUUGUUUGGGAAUGCAGCUCCAAGCGGGUGGUAAAUUCCAUCUAAGGCUAAAUAUUGGCGAGAGACCGAUAGCGAACAAGUACCGUGAAGGAAAGAUGAAAAGCACUUUGAAAAGAGAGUGAAACAGCACGUGAAAUUGUUGAAAGGGAAGGGUAUUGGGCUCGACAUGGGGGGUGCGCACCGCUGUCUCUUGUAGGCGGCGCUCUGGGCGCCCUCUGGGCCAGCAUCGGUUCCUGCUGCGGGAGAAGGGGCUCCGGAAAGUGGCUCUUCGGAGUGUUAUAGCCGGGGCCAGAUGCCGCGUGUGGGGACCGAGGACUGCGGCUUCUGUCUCGGAUGCUGGCAUAACGGCGCAAUACCGCCCGUCUU
rnacentral:rRNA from 1 species